rnacentral:rRNA from 1 species
UCGUCAGCAUACCCUGUGAAGGAAACAUAGUAAGCAAAACUGGUAAAACCCAAAACGCCAGGUCGAGGUGUAGCGCACGAAAAGGAAAGAAAUGGGCUACAUUUCCUCACCCAGGAAACACGAAUUGUGCCAUGAAACAACACAUGAAGGAGGAUUUAGCAGUAAGCAGAAAACAGAGCGUUCCGCUGAACCUGGCCCUGAAGCGCGCACACACCGCCCGUCACUCUCCCCAAGUCUAAAGACAAUAAUAAUUAAAACCCCACAAAGACAAAGGGGAGGCAAGUCGUAACAUGG